UCAUCAACAUGACCUUCAUCAUCAUCUUCAUCUGGACUCUCACAGCGUUUGCUCAAGAGUGUAGAGGACAGAUCACCGUCACUCAGAGUCCCUCAGUGACAGCAGCUCAACCAGGACAAACUGUGAACAUUAACUGUAAAACCAGCACAGAUGUGUACAAGGAUAGUAAUGGACAUUAUUUAGCCUGGUACUUACAGAAACCUGGAGAAGCUCCUAAACUCCUGAUUUAUUUAGCAAGCACCCUCCAGUCAGGAACUCCAUCUAGAUUCAGUGGCAGUGGAUCUAACAGUGAUUUCACUCUGACCAUCAGUGGAGUCCAGACUGAAGAUGCUGGACAUUAUUACUGUCAGAGUUUAUACUGGCCUGAGAGCAUUCAGUGGUUCACACAGUGAUAAAGAGUCGUACAAAAACCUCCGUCAGUCAGAGUCACAGUGACUGAACUGAUACUGCAGCUGCUCAAAGGAGGAUCUGAAACAACAUCAUCACACAAACAUCUGAAAUAAAAUCAUCUAAAUUAAUCUGCCACUCUUAAUAAUUCUAGAGGUCAGAAAGAGAUUUUGUGCUCUUAUAGAUCAGUCACACGUUUGAGAUCUGAA